rnacentral:sRNA from 14 species
ACAAAAGUCCUGAGGAGUGAAGCUCUCUGGCCACAGCUCCAGUCUAGCAUUGCAAGAUGCACAACAAAAUUCCACAUAUGACAUUACAGAUGUGCCCUAACUCUGACCCAGAGGGACCAUCUUUAAGGUUGAGAGAGCACUUCAGUCUCUGUUACUCUGCAGACCUUUGGCUCUC